rnacentral:misc_RNA from 1 species
GAUGAAGAACGCAGCGAAAUGCGAAAAGUAAUGUGAAUUGCAGAAUUCAGUGAAUCAUCGAAUCUCUGAACGCACAUUGCGCCCGCCAGUAUUCUGGCGGGCAUGCCUGUCUGAGCGUCAUUUCAACCCUCAUGCCCCUAGGGCGUGGUGUUGGGGAUCGGCCAGCGCCCGCGAGGGACGGCCGGCCCCUAAAUCUAGUGGCGGACCCGUCGUGGCCUCCCCUGCGAAGUAGUGAUAUUCCGCAUAGGAGAGCGACGAGCCCCUGCCGUUAAACCCCCAACUUUCUAAGGUUGACCUCAGAUCAGGUAGGAAUACCCGCUGAACUUAAGCAUAUCAAUAAGCGGAGGA